GAUGAACGCUGGCGGCGUGCCUAAUACAUGCAAGUCGAGCGAACAGACGAGGAGCUUGCUCCUCUGACGUUAGCGGCGGACGGGGGAGUAACACGUGGAGAACCUACCUAUAAGACUGGGAUAACUUCGGGAAACCGGAGCUAAUACCGGAUAAUAUAUUGAACCGCAUGGUUCAAUAGUGAAAGACGGUUUUGCUGUCACUUAUAGAUGGAUCCGCGCCGCAUUAGCUAGUUGGUAAGGUAACGGCUUACCAAGGCGACGAUGCGUAGCCGACCUGAGAGGGUGAUCGGCCACACUGGAACUGAGACACGGUCCAGACUCCUACGGGAGGCAGCAGUAGGGAAUCUUCCGCAAUGGGCGAAAGCCUGACGGAGCAACGCCGCGUGAGUGAUGAAGGUCUUCGGAUCGUAAAACUCUGUUAUUAGGGAAGAACAAAUGUGUAAGUAACUAUGCACGUCUUGACGGUACCUAAUCAGAAAGCCACGGCUAACUACGUG
rnacentral:rRNA from 1 species